rnacentral:rRNA from 1 species
UACAGAGGGUGCGAGCGUUGUUCGGAAUUAUUGGGCGUAAAGGGCGCGUAGGCGGUGCGGUAAGUCACCUGUGAAAUCUCCUGGCUCAACUGGGAGCUUGCAGGCGAAACUGCCGUGCUGGAGUGUGGGAGAGGUGCGUGGAAUUCCUGGUGUAGCGGUGAAAUGCGUAGAUAUCAGGAGGAACACCGGCGGUGUAGACGGCUUCUGGACGUAGCUGACGCUGAGACACGAAGACGUGGGUAGCAAACAGG